AUUGAACGCUGGCGGCAUGCUUUACACAUGCAAGUCGAACGGUAACAGGGACUUCGGUCUGCUGACGAGUGGCGAACGGGUGAGUAAUGCAUCGGAACGUACCGAGUAAUGGGGGAUAACGCAUCGAAAGGUGUGCUAAUACCGCAUACGCCCUGAGGGGGAAAGCGGGGGAUCGAAAGACCUCGCGUUAUUCGAGCGGCCGAUGCCGGAUUAGCUAGUUGGUGGGGUAAAGGCUCACCAAGGCGACGAUCCGUAGCAGGUCUGAGAGGAUGAUCUGCCACACUGGGACUGAGACACGGCCCAGACUCCUACGGGAGGCAGCAGUGGGGGAAUUUUGGACAAUGGGGGCAACCCUGAUCCAGCCAUGCCGCGUGUCUGAAGAAGG
rnacentral:rRNA from 1 species